rnacentral:rRNA from 1 species
GACGAACGCUGGCGGCGUGCCUAAUACAUGCAAGUCGAACGCAGUGGGUACGGGGGAGUAACACGUGGGUAACCUCCCCAUCAGAGUGGAUACCACUUGGUAACAGGUGCUCAACCGAUACUGUUGGAUGGACCCGCGGUGCAUUGGCUAGUUGGUGAGGUAACGGGUUCCUAAGGCCACGAUGCAUAGCCGACCGGAGAGGUGGAUCGGCAGCACUGGGACUGAGACACGGCCCAGACUCCUGAGGGAGGCAGCAGUAGGGUAUCGGCGGCAAUGGACGAAAGUCUUACCGAGCAGCGGCGCGUGAGUGAAGACGGUGUUCGGUGCGUAAAGCUCUUUUGUUAGAGAAGCGGUACCUAACCAGGAAGCCCCGGCUAACUACGUGCCAGCAGCCGCGGUAAUGC